rnacentral:rRNA from 1 species
GAACCUUACCUGGCCUUGACAUGGUAGGAACCCUUAAGAGAUUAGGGGGUGCUAGCUUGCUAGAACCUACACACAGGUGCUGCACGGCUGUCGUCAGCUCGUGUCGUGAGAUGUUGGGUUAAGUCCCGCAACGAGCGCAACCCUCGUCUUUAGUUGCUAACAGUUAGGCUGAGCACUCUAAAGAGACUGCCUCCGUAAGGAGGAGGAAGGUGAGGAAGACGUCAAGUCAUCAUGGCCCUUACGGCCAGGGCUACACACGUGCUACAAUGGGGCGUACAGAGAGCUGCAAUACCGCGAGGUGGAGCCAAUCUCUUAAAGCGUCUCUCAGUUCGGAUUGUUCUUUGCAACUUGAGAACAUGAAGCUGGAAUCACUAGUAAU